rnacentral:rRNA from 1 species
ACGCGAUGAACCUUACCAAGGCUUAAAUGUAGAUUGACCGGUUUGGAAACAGACUUUUCGCAAGACAAUUUACAAGGUGCUGCAUGGUUGUCGUCAGCUCGUGCCGUGAGGUGUCAGGUUAAGUCCUAUAACGAGCGCAACCCCCUGUUGUUAGUUGCCAGCGAGUCAUGUCGGGGGAACUCUAACGAGACUGCCAGUGCAAACUGUGAGGAAGGUGGGGAUGACGUCAAAUCAUCACGGCCCUUACGCC